AUGAACGUUGGCGGCGUGGAUUAGGCAUGCAAGUCGAGCGCGAACCUUCUUUCGGGAAGGGGAAAGCGGCGAAAGGGACAGUAACACGUGGACCAUCUGCCCUCAGGUCCGGGAUAGCUGCGGGAAACUGCAGGUAAUACCGGAUAAUGUCUCCGGACCAAAGGUGUGAUUCCUCCUGAGGAUGAGUCCGCGUCCUAUCAGCUUGUUGGUGAGGUAACGGCUCACCAAGGCAACGACGGGUAGCAGGUGUGAGAGCACGACCUGCGUCACUGGGACUGAGACACUGCCCAGACACCUACGGGUGGCUGCAGUCGAGGAUCUUCGGCAAUGGGCGCAAGCCUGACCGAGCGACGCCGCGUGUGGGAUGAAGGCCUUCGGGUUGUAAACCACUGUCAGUGGGGAGGAAGGUCCGGUGAAGAGCCGGAUUUGACCUAUCCGCAGAGGAAGUGUGGGCUAAGUCCGU
rnacentral:rRNA from 1 species